UAAGGAAUUUUGGACAAUGGGCGCAAGCCUGAUCCAGCCAUGCCGCGUGCAGGAUGAAGGCCUUCGGGUUGUAAACUGCUUUUGUACGGAACGAAAAGGUGCCUUCUAAUAAAGAGGGGUGAUGACGGUACCGUAAGAAUAAGCACCGGCUAACUACGUGCCAGCAGCCGCGGUAAUACGUAGGGUGCGAGCGUUAAUCGGAAUUACUGGGCGUAAAGCGUGCGCAGGCGGUCUUGCAAGACAGUGGUGAAAUCCCCGGGCGCAACCUGGGAAUUGCCAUUGNGACUGCAAGGCGGGAGUACGGUAGAGGGGGGUGGCAGUCCGCGUGUAGCAGUGAAA
rnacentral:rRNA from 1 species